rnacentral:rRNA from 1 species
AGGCAGCAGUGGGGAAUUUUGGACAUGGGCGCAAGCCUGAUCCAGCCAUGCCGCGUGAGUGAAGAAGGGCCUUCGGGGUUGUAAAGGCUCUUUCGGCCGGGAAGAAAUCGUGGUCUCUAACAUAGGCCAUGGAUGACGGUACCGGACUAAGAAGCACCGGCUAACUACGUGCCAGCAGCCGCGGUAAUACGUAGGGUGCGAGCGUUAAUCGGAAUUACUGGGCGUAAAGCGUGCGCAGGCGGUUUUGUAAGACAGAUGUGAAAUCCCCGGGCUUAACCUGGGAACUGCGUUUGUGACUGCAAGGCUAGAGUACGGCAGAGGGGGGUGGAAUUCCUGGUGUAGCAGUGAAAUGCGUAGAGAUCAGGAGGAACACCGAUGGCGAAGGCAGCCCCCUGGGCCUGUACUGACGCUCAUGCACGAAAGCGUGGGGAGC